UACGGGGGGGGCAAGCGUUGUUCGGAAUUACUGGGCGUAAAGGGCUCGUAGGCGGCCAACUAAGUCGGACGUGAAAUCCCCAGGCUCAACCUGGGAACUGCGUCUGAUACUGGAUGGCUUGAAUCCGGGAGAGGGAUGCAGAAUUCCAGGUGUAGCGGUGAAAUGCGUAGAGAUCGGGAAGAACAUCGGUGGCGAAGGCGCUCUACUGGACCACAACUGACACUCAGGGACGAAAGCUAGGGGAGCGAAUGGG
rnacentral:rRNA from 1 species